rnacentral:rRNA from 1 species
UACGAAGGGGGCUAGCGUUGCUCGGAAUCACUGGGCGUAAAGGGUGCGUAGGCGGGUCUUUAAGUCAGGGGUGAAAUCCUGGAGCUCAACUCCAGAACUGCCUUUGAUACUGAAGAUCUUGAGUUCGGGAGAGGUGAGUGGAACUGCGAGUGUAGAGGUGAAAUUCGUAGAUAUCGCAAGAACACCAGUGGCGAAGGCGGCUCACUGGCCCGAUACUGACGCUGAGGCACGAAAGCGUGGG